rnacentral:misc_RNA from 1 species
UUAAGUUCAGCGGGUAGUCUCACCCGAUUUGAGGUCAAGGGUUCGUGAGGUCGAGAGAGUUUCCCAGGGAAGGGAGCCACGCUCAGACGUUUGUCUCGAUGCAAGGUUGAGACGAUUAGAAGCGGGUCCCAAAAGCAACAGAGCCAGAGACCAAGACACGGAAACAUCUUAUCACAUGUCAAGGAUCGGCAAAGAGGACC